UAGUUUCAACAGCUCUAUAAUAAUAUGGU
rnacentral:piRNA from 1 species